rnacentral:rRNA from 1 species
UGGGGAAUAUUGCACAAUGGGCGCAAGCCUGAUGCAGCCAUGCUGCGUGUAUGAAGAAGGCCUUCGGGUUGUAAAGUACUUUCAGCGGGGAGGAAGGCGAUGUGGUUAAUAACCGCGUCGAUUGACGUUACCCGCAGAAGAAGCACCGGCUAACUCCGUGCCAGCAGCCGCGGUAAUACGGAGGGUGCAAGCGUUAAUCGGAAUUACUGGGCGUAAAGCGCACGCAGGCGGUCUGUCAAGUCGGAUGUGAAAUCCCCGGGCUCAACCUGGGAACUGCAUCCGAAACUGGCAGGCUUGAGUCUCGUAGAGGGGGGUAGAAUUCCAGGUGUAGCGGUGAAAUGCGUAGAGAUCUGGAGGAAUACCGGUGGCGAAGGCGGCCCCCUGGACGAAGACUGACGCUCAGGUGCGAAAGCGUGGGGAGCAAACA